UUGUGCCGACAGGUCCUCGUAACCGUGUCAUCCCAUCAAGAUAAGGUGGCGUAAAUUCUUAUGAGUGCCCACUUUCUCGCUGGCUGUGGCGCAGGAAGAGCCGCCAUCGGCCCGUCUCCUAUCAGCCGGACCGCCUUCAACGUGUCAUCACCAAACGAAAAAGAAGUGACGAUCACUCGGCGAGAAAUCCGACGAAUUCGGCACCGUAUUUCAACAUCAAAAAUUACUUUGAAGAAAAAGAAAGAAAAUGGUGGAAUAAAUCAAACAAAAGCUUGCCAGUGUAUUAGGCAAAUGAUAAUUCAAAGAAAAAAACAAAAAUAACCAGUUCUUUUUAUGUUUGAAAAUUGGCUUUUUUUUAAAGCCAAAUCGUUCAGAGCUUGAGCUUUAUUUUGGCUGACUUUCUACGCGUUUUGUCUUUCUUAUUAUUCAACUGGCCGUUUGUGAAGGAAGAGGUGGGGGGACACAGUCAAUAGGGAGAUGUUCUCGUUUGGCUUUCGGUGCAAGUGAAAGUGGACGCGGCUGGGUUGUCGCAAUCCCGCCCGCCUCAGCAAGUCGCCACGUUUGUUACAUUGUACGUCACGUUCAUUUUCCCUCCCUAUUUGCCCAACAUCUCUUUCCGCACGGCGCACGCAUUUCCCUCAUCUCUCUUCCGAAAACGCAGAUAAAAAAAAAAAAUAAGGUUUUCCCAUUUUAAAAAAAAAUUAGCUCUCUUCUUUCUACCAAUAAGGAGGAAACAAUGAUGUCUAUCAUUUCUUAUUGGAUGCGGUACAGUUAAACGGCGCUGGCGCGACCCUGCAAAAGAAGUCGGUCAAAGUCAGCGUUAGCCUCUCGGUCAAAGGUUUCUCAUUGGGAAAUCAAGGUAAGCGACCAAAAUUGGCAGUCCGUUUGUUUGUUCGUUGUGUGUGUGUGUGUGUGUAAAGUGUACACGCGGGCUCCUUUCUCUUUUUAUUUUGCGCUUAACGCAGGUGGCCUGAAAGCGGCUGCGUUGCUGGGGCUCUUCAGGACGCGGCUAUUCAGGUUGGGAUCCGCAAUCUCCGGGGCUAAUGACGCUCUUCAGCCGAAUGUUUCGCUGGAAUAACCGAAGGUCAAAGAACGAGACACACCUGUACGAAAAUGAAAAAACCCGACUGUUUUACUGUGACAUUGACCCGGCGGGAGUAUUUCCAAAUCAAGGAACAGCCAUCAACAUCCAUCUGCACAGAAUGGAGCGGUUUGAUACUGAAAUAAAGGAGCGGCCGCUUAGUGUAUAAUCAUCACGGUGUCCUGUCUGAUUUCUUGCCCUUUCCGCUUGUUUCCUCAAUUCGCCAUUUUUUCUUUUGUUUUUUUUUAUUUUCUUCUCUUUGGUCAGAACAAUUUAAUGGACCAUCGAAAUGUAUCACCUAUAGUCCUUGACAGCGGUAUAGAGAGAGAGAGUCACGGCCGUCUGGCUGCUCCCGACUAUGCAUCGCUGCACAACAACCCACGAAAUUAUUAUUUGUUUGUUUUUUUUCUAAUGAAAGGGGAGCGAUUUUUUUACUCCUUUCAAUUUGAAAAAAAGAACGAAAAUAAAUUUGCAUAUUGUGGCCAAACGUAAAAA